ensembl:antisense Gm9947 predicted gene 9947
ACUCUGCGGCCGAGCCCUUAGGCGGGAGCGGCUUCUUCCCCGCACCGCCUGCGCGGCCACCUGCGCCGCCAGCGUCAGCCCCACGGAGCCGCUUCCUCUUGCAUCCUCCCGCGGCUCCCAGGGAGCCGGGCUCCUCUUCACCGUCCUCCUCUUCCGCAGAAGAAAUGUCGCUGGGCGAGCCGUAACCGCGCUCCAUGCGGAGCAGGGGCGGCCUCUUGGAGGCCGGGGCCGGGUAGACCCUCUGCAGCCCCCUCAUCUCCGAGUCUUCGGGGUCACUCACCGAGCCGGUGGACAUCGCCUAUUCCCCGGCGCCCACGCGCGCGCGCCUUUCUCCUCCCCGGCCAGUCUCGCUUUCUCUGGCUUCUUCUCUCUGACAGAGGAUGGGGUGUGGGAGAGCCCAGGGGAGGACCAGAGACCAGGGCUUGCCUCCGCACUGAGGCUCCCCUGUGAGCUGGGCGCCUGGAGUGGGCGCGAUCUGCUGCUGACCCUGUAGCCCAGGGCUCUGCUGAACUUGACUCCGGAUCCAAAAGUACAGCCGCGAGCUGAGCCUUUUGACAGGACUAUUUAUCUGUACUCUUAGGGAAAAGCCACCCCCCUCCCCCUCGGCAAAGUAGAGGGGGCUUGAAAGGGGGACAAGAGGUGGGGCAGGGGCGUGGAAGGGGUGGGGAUCGUUUUUUCCCCCCUGAACCCUGCGGUUAGCGGGGCGGGGGCAAGGAAUGUUUGCGCGCAAAGCAAAGACUUAGGCCUCUACGCCCACGACUGACCCUCAGAGUAUCUGUGCGAGGUAAGUGAGAUUUGGGAACAAAAAGAAAAGACCUUGUUCCUACUCAUUCCAUUUUCACCUGCAGCUGGUCUUAGUGGGAACUGAAGAAUCUGAGCAUGCCCAGUGCGGCUUGUCUCCCAGUGUGUUCCUGGGGACCUGUCAUUCAAGUUCAUUACUCAAGAUGUGUGUUUGCUUAUCCAAGGCUUCAUAGAACGAGUACAGAGAAAGAGCAAAAACUAAGGAGCAGCUCCAAUGACCCAUCUCUUGACCCCCAUCCCCCCUCCGCCCCCGCUUUUAUAGUUCACAUGGCAGCGCUUUUUUUCUACUUUGUCUUGUUUCAUCUUCAAGCAAUUUCUGAAACUUACAUGUUAUGAUGUCCAUCUUGCAAAAUCACUGGGAGAGCAAAUAAGUGGGAUCAGGAAUCUGUGUGUUUGUAGCAUUUCAGUAGCCACAAGCCUCCUAACCUACACAUCAAGAGAUGUUAUUUUCCACUGUUGUAAGAUUUCCUCCGCGUGAUUAAGGUUUGGACUCAGACCCAACGCUUUGAGAGCAAGUUCUUGGAUGCAGAAUAGUAUGUCAGCACAGUUGCCUUGCCAAAAUUAAAGAGAAAGGAAAGGGGAAAAGCAAAGCAAAGAAAGACCAAUAACAACCAAAACCCAAAGGACUACCAAGCAGCCCCUAGAAUUGUGCUGCAUUUCAAGUCACAACAAAACACCUUGCCUUCCCCAACCCCAGAGCAGACAAAACAAGGUGGAAGGCAGGCCAAGUGUGCUCAAGCUGAGGGGCUUUGUUAACAAACAGACAGGUGUCAGCCGGGACUCCCGCUGUGCUCCAGACGGAGGAAUUGGUGCCCUUAAAGGGUUGGGGUUUGACUGCCUUGGCUGAGCAGAAGGAAGCUGAGUUUCUUUUCUGUUCCACUCUGUUGUCUUCUUGUACUUCUCCUCUCACAGGUUCCAGAUGAGAGUGGGUCAAGCAGAUACGCGGAUGCAGAAGCUGCCUAGCAAAUUCUAGUCUUUACAGCAGAACAAAUAGCUGAGCCCUGAGCCUGAAGUAUCAUAGCAGGUGGCUGGCAGGGGUUGAUUCGGCCCUUCAGGCUUCCCUCCACCUUGUCUCAAGGCGAUACCUCCCACUUAGGGGUAUUGUGUACAACCACCCCUACUUGCUACCGUUCCUGAAGUUUUCUUGUACCUUUUGUCUUUGGUUGGGGGUAGGGUAAGAGAGGUUCUCAUCGUGAGACAAUUUGAGUAAAAAAGUCCUUUGCUCUCAGAUUUUCUGGGUUGGGGAAACGCAGCUGUAUUUGGCAGAGAGUUGGGUUUUGUUUUGUUUUUGUUUUGUUUUGUUUUUUUUGUUUUGUUUUGUUUUUGGAUUGCUUAAACUUGACUGUAGGCAAGCCUGGCCAGGCAAAAGGGGGCGGGGUGGAGAUGGGGGUGCAGGCAGAAAGAUGGAAGGCAGAGGUGUUACAUAUAGAUGACUUGAAGCUAUCACUAUAAAUACAUACUCUCACACAUUAGGGGCAGGCAUAUAGGUUUUAAAAAUCUGGGUUGUUUAUACAGGUGCAGAACAAAGCUUUUCCUUAGGAAAGAUUAAUGGUGGGGGUAUGCGGCAUUUCUCUAAACAGUUCCCCAAACUGCCCAACCUCAGCGCUGAGGAUUAAGGCUGCUUUCUCCUCCUUGUAUCCUCCGGAGAACCCUCCUUCUCCUCUCCUCCCAGGCUUCCCUUCUGUCCUGUCCCUUCACUGCGACUGACUACCGACUGACUACCCAGCUCUUGGGAAAGAAACCUCUCUGCACACCUUUACGAAUCCUACUCUCCUUUCUCUUUCAUUUUUGUGAGCAUUUUAUUUCUAGUCUGGCUGUGACUUUGUCCUUUUGCCUUCUUCUGGCCUCAGAUGUGAGAGGGAGAUGAGUGGACCACCUCUGCGUUCCAUAGUAGUGAGCAGCUGCAGCUUGGGCUGUGUUGCAGUAUCCAGCAUUUGUUCCUCUUCACACAUUGGCAGUGCUUGACUUUCCUUCUCCUCGAAGCAUCCUGAAAGCCCAGAGAGCACAGCACAGCGCAGCUUUCUUGAGUGCCUAUAUUUUCCCACUGUUUUGAUGUAACCGCAUAUUGUAGGUGAACGGUAAUGUCUUUAUUUUUCCAUUAAUAAAGCACUCUGAAGUC